rnacentral:lncRNA from 1 species
UACUAUACCCAGCAAACCCCUCAAUUACCAUAGGUGGAGAAACCAAAGUACUCCAGACAAAACAAAAUUCACACAAUAUCUUUCCACCAAUCUAUCCCUUCAAAAGAUAAUGUAGGGAAAACUUCAACACAAGAAGGGAAACUAUACCCUAGAAAAAGCAAGAACAUCUUUCAACAAACCUGAAAGAAGAUAGCCACAUGAACAGAAUUCCAACUCUAACAACAAAAAUAACAGGAAGAAACAACUUUUCCUUAAUAUCAAUGGAUUCAAUUCCCCAAUAAAAAGACAUAGACUAACAGAUUGGUUACAUAAACAGGACAUUUUGCUGCUUUCAGGAAACCCAUCUCAGGAACAAAGUCAGACACUACCUCAGAGUGAAAGGCUGGAAAACAAUUUUCAAGCAAAUGAUUCGAAGAGACAAGCUGUAGUAGCCAUUCUAAUAUCGAAUAAAAUUGACUUCCAACCCAAAAUUAUCAAAAAAGACAAGGAGGGGCACUUCAUACUCAUCAAAGGUAAAAUCUUCCAAGAGGAACUCUCAAUUCUGAAUAUCUAUGCUCCAAAUACAAGGGCAGCCACAGUCAUUAAAGAGACUUUGCUAAAACUCCAAGCACACAUUGCACCUCACACAAUAACAGUGGGAGACUUCAGCACCCCACUCUCAUCAAUGGACAGAUCCUGGAAACAGAAACUAAACAAAAACAGUGAAACUAACAGAAGUGUUACAUAGUGUAACAUAGUCAUCUACAGAUACAAAAACAUUGAAAUAAUCCUGUGCAUCCUAUCAGAUCAUCAGUGACUAGGGCUGAUUUUCAAUAACAACAUAAAUAAUAGAAAACCUAAAUACACAUGGAAGCUGAGCAAUACUCUACUCAAUGAUAACUUGAUCAAGGAAAGAAGGAAGGAAGGAAGGAAGGAAGGAAGGAAGGAAGGAAGGAAGGAAGGAAGGAAGGAAAAGGGAGAGGGGCAGAGAGAGAGAGAGAGAGAAGGAAAGAAAGAAGGAAAGAAAUGAAAGACUUUUUAGUGUUUAAUGAAAAUGAAGCCACAACAUACCCAAACUUAUGGGACACAAUGAAAGCAGUGCUAAAAGGAAAACUCAUAGCUCUGAGUGCCUCCAAAAAGAAACUAGAGAGAGCACACACUAGCAGCUUGACAGCAUGCCUAAAAGCUCUAGAACAAAAGGAAGCAAAUUCACCCAAGAGGAGUAGAUGGCAGGAAAUAAUCAAACUCAGGGCAAUCAAACAAGUGUAAACAAAAAUACUAUACAAAGAAUCAACCAAACCAGGAGCUAGUUCUUUGAUAAUAUCAACAAGAUAGAUAAACUAGAAUGACUAGAGGGCACAGGGACAGUAUCCUAAUUAACAAAAUCAGAAAUGAAAAGGGAGACAAACAGAAUCUGCGGAAAUCCAAACUAUCAUCAGAUCCUACUACAAAUACCUAUACACAACAAAACUGGAAAACCUGGAUAAAAGGAACAAUUUUCUAGACAGAUACCAGGUGCCAAGGUUAAAUCAGGAUCAAAUAAAUGACCUAAAUGGUCCCAUAUACCCUAAAGAAAUAGAAACAGUCAUUGAUAGUCUCCCAGCAAAAACAAACAAACAAACAAAC